rfam:Triticum aestivum genome assembly, contig: Triticum_aestivum_CS42_TGACv1_scaffold_031840_1BL
GACGUACUGCCUCCGUUCGGAAAUACUUGUCAUCAAAAUGAAUAAAAGAGGAUGUAUCUAGAUGUAUUUUAGUUCUAGAUACAUCCUUUUUCGUCCAUUUUAAUACAAGUAUUUUCGGACGAAGGAAGUAUUUG